AUUGAACGCUGGCGGCAGGCCUAACACAUGCAAGUCGGACGGUAGCACAGAGAGCUUGCUCUCGGGUGACGAGUGGCGGACGGGUGAGUAAUGUCUGGGGAUCUGCCCGAUAGAGGGGGAUAACCACUGGAAACGGUGGCUAAUGCCGCAUAACGUCGCAAGACCAAAGAGGGGGACCUUCGGGCCUCUCACUAUCGGAUGAACCCAGAUGGGAUUAGCUAGUAGGCGGGGUAAUGGCCCACCUAGGCGACGAUCCCUAGCUGGUAUGAGAGGAUGACCAGCCACACUGGAACUGAGACACGGUCCAGACUCCUACGGGAGGCAGCAGUGGGGAAUAUUGCACAAUGGGCGCAAGCCUGAUGCAGCCAUGCCGCGUGUAUGAAGAAGGCCUUCGGGUUGUAAAGUACUUUCAGCGGGGAGGAAGGCGAUGUGGUUAAUAACCGCGUCGAUUGACGUUACCCGCAGAAGAAGCACCGGCUAACUCCGUGCCAGCAGCCGCAGUAA
rnacentral:rRNA from 1 species